UACGUAGGGUGCAAGCGUUAAUCGGAAUUACUGGGCGUAAAGCGUGCGCAGGCGGUUGUGCAAGACAGAUGUGAAAUCCCCGGGCUCAACCUGGGAACUGCAUUUGUGACUGCACGGCUGGAGUGCGGCAGAGGGGGAUGGAAUUCCGCGUGUAGCAGUGAAACGCGUAGAUAUGCGGAGGAACACCGAUGGCGAAGGCAAUCCCCUGGGCCUGCACUGACGCUCAUGCACGAAAGCGUGGGGAGCAAACAGG
rnacentral:rRNA from 1 species